CAUUCGCCCUGAUCCACGCGGGUCAGAAAGCCCGAGGAGACCCUCGCGGAAUUGGAGCCUCGCCGAAGACCGCAACCUUCUUCUCGCGCCGCCGCCGGCCGCGGAGUCCUCCUCACGCCGCAGCCUGCAGACUCCUCGACGAGCCUCCGCCGGCAGCAGCCUCCUCGACGCGUCGUCGCUGCCGCCAGUGACAUGGAGAGAUUAAUUGUCUGAACUAUCGAUUAUGGAUGAUGCAAGAAAACAUUCUAUUCUUUAGAGGAGGACGGAGAAGAAGCCGAAACUCAGGGAGUCGUAUUGAAGCACUGGCCAGCAAGAGAAAUUGAUGACCCAAGUGAAACAACACCAGCAAUAGCUUCGUAUGCCAGUUAAACAUACAUAUUACGAUGAAGUAGAUGAAUGUUACAUGGCACCUUGGUUGUCAAUAUUACUAGAUUGUUGUGUCUUUUUUAACCCGACUGAUUGCUAUUUGAGGUUGUCACUUGUUCAUUUGACCUGAUGAUGAUCAUCUCCGCAAUAUUUUGAGUAGUUUCUGCCAAAUGCAGGGACUUGUGUAUGA